ACUGCAGAUGACAACUUCCUACAAAAGUGCAUCAUCUUGUGGCUCGCAGGCUCGCAUCUCAUGCUCGCUGCAUGAUUUAGAAGGUUUACUCUUUCUCGGUCCGUCUCGCUGUCCUUCAUUUAGCCCCUGAGCUCUCGCUGUGCCUGCGACCCAGACUCAGCGGGACCCUCGGAUACACAGAGCUCCCUCAGCAUGCUUGUCAGAGAUAUUUAACCGAGCUCGUGAUGAGUCAAAAAUAAUAUUAAUUCAUUAGAAUAAAUGAGCGACGGGAGAGCUGCAAAUAGCUCCUUUUAAUCGGCGUGAACAAGGAACUCUGCCGUCUCCUCUCGCCAUGCUUCCUGUUGUCUCAUUAUGUGACGGAUCAAUAUAACAGCUGUGCAUGAGUUCACACAUGGGUGCCUGUCAGUCUGCAGGACAGUCCUGAUGUGAAUGCACUUCUGCGCAGUAAAACACUGAUCUGCUGUGCUCUAAUGGCUGUGUGGAGCAAUGAGGCGAAGAAACUGAGUCAUUGGUUGCCAAAGAAGUCAACGACGUCGGGCAUUUUUCACCAGAAUCCAUUUCGCUGUGUCUAUGCGUAUGCCAUGUCUUAUUCGUUUGGCUCGCGCAUAAAUAUUGAUGAGGGUUCUCAGUCAUCCAGGUCGUGGCAAAUCUAAGUGCUGUAUCGUAGGCAACUGGACGCGUUUUCAGUUUCUUGAAGACGUUUCACCUCCCAUCAUCCAAGAGGCUUCCUCUGUUCUAACAAAAUGGAGGUGAGUUGGCAGGCUGUUGUCCACAUACCUGAACCAGUGGCUAGGAGCGGUUCCCGUGAAGGUAAUGAAGUCUCUUCUUGUGCAUAAAUGCAUAUUAUGACCUUUCAUGGGAAGCAAAAUUGCUUCAUCGGAUGGACUCCACAGUUAAUGCAUGUUUAUAUUUACCCUGU